rfam:Larimichthys crocea isolate SSNF unplaced genomic scaffold scaffold1092, whole genome shotgun sequence.
UCUUACAGCCAUACGACCCUGAAUGCGCCCGAUCUCGUCUGAUCUCGGAAGCUAAGCAGGGUCAGGCCAGGUUAGUACUUUGAUGGGACACCGCCUGGGAAUACCAGGUGCUGUAAGCU